UCUUAAUAAUAUACAAACUCAAAACCAUGUUAGGGAAAGAAAGCUUAUUUGUCCACCUCUAACCACAUUCUUGCCAAAUCAUCAUUAAUUAAUAUUACUUUCAUUCCAUAUUUAGCUUAUGGUGCCAACUUGGAUGCUUGAGUUGGAAGAAAAAUUUAAAUUUUGAAUUUCCCUCUUCUUUUGGUUUUGUUGGGUCUUAUUUUUGCAUUCAAACAAGUGAAAAACUGAUCUGGCCCAGUUGUUGAAGCCCAUUUCGCUACCAAACAAAAAAAUACUUACCUGGAAAGGAAAAAAAAGAAGCACGCGUAAACAUUUUGGGCAAUUCCUUUCUCCCUCCACGCGACCCAACCAGAAAAACGCUAUCAAAUUGAUGCAAGCCUACAGAAAUCCUCUCUGACUCUUAUCAGUACACUCCCAGCGGAUUUUAUGGCUUUAAUCGAUCUCUCUUCAACG
rnacentral:lncRNA from 1 species